rfam:Gossypium raimondii Chr03_contig_1029, whole genome shotgun sequence.
UAUUAAAAAUUUUAUCCAUCUGCACUAUUAAAAACUGACUUGGCUGAUAGAAUAAUCAGAUAGUGACAUAUGACAUGUCACGUAUACCUUAUACUGAUCACGUAUAAGGACUAAUUUUUAACAAUAAAAAAUAGAUGAAAUUUUUAACA